GGGUCCUUAGUUCAGCUGGUAGAACGCCCUGCUCAUAACGGGGUAGUCGAAGGUUCGAGUCCUUCAGGACCCACCA
rnacentral:tRNA from 1 species